rnacentral:tRNA from 1 species
ACUUUCAAAGGAUAAUAGAUCAAUCCACU